rnacentral:rRNA from 1 species
GAUGAACGCUGGCGGCGUGCUUAGCACAUGCAAGUCGAACGGAAAGGCUCCUGCUUGCAGGGGUACUCGAGUGGCGAACGGGUGAGUAACACGUGGGUGAUCUGCCCUGCACUUCGGGAUAAGCCUGGGAAACUGGGUCUAAUACCGGAUAGGACCACAUUUUGGAUGGUGUGGUGGAAAGUUUUUCGGUGUGGGAUGAGCUCGCGGCCUAUCAGCUUGUUGGUGGGGUAAUGGCCUACCAAGGCGUCGACGGGUAGCCGGCCUGAGAGGGUGUACGGCCACAUUGGGACUGAGAUACGGCCCAGACUCCUACGGGAGGCAGCAGUGGGGAAUAUUGCACAAUGGGCGCAAGCCUGAUGCAGCGACGCCGCGUGGGGGAUGACGGCCUUCGGGUUGUAAACUCCUUUCGCUAGGGACGAAGCGUUUUUGUGACGGUACCUGGAGAAGAAGCACCGGCUAACUACGUG